rnacentral:rRNA from 1 species
UACGGGGGGGGCAAGCGUUGUUCGGAAUUACUGGGCGUAAAGGGCUCGUAGGCGGCCCACUAAGUCCGACGUGAAAUCCCAAGGCUUAACCUUGGAACUGCGUCGGAUACUGGAUGGCUUGAAUUCGGGAGAGGGAUGCAGAAUUCCAGGUGUAGCGGUGAAAUGCGUAGAUAUCUGGAGGAAUACCGGUGGCGAAGGCGGCAUCCUGGACCGACAUUGACGCUGAUGAGCGAAAGCUAGGGGAGCAAACGGG